rnacentral:rRNA from 1 species
AUUGAACGCUGGCGGCAUGCCUUACACAUGCGAGUCGAACGGUAACAGGUUAAGCUGACGAGUGGCGAACGGGUGAGUAAUAUAUCGGAACGUGCCCAGUCGUGGGGGAUAACUGCUCGAAAGAGCAGCUAAUACCGCAUACGACCUGAGGGUGAAAGCGGGGGAUCGCAAGACCUCGCGCGAUUGGAGCGGCCGAUAUCAGGUUAGGUAGUUGGUGGGGUAAGAGCCCACCAAGCCAACGAUCUGUAGCUGGUCUGAGAGGACGACCAGCCGCACUGGGACGGAGACACGGCACCGACUGCUAAGGGAGGCAGCAGGGGGGAAUUUUGGACAAUGGGCGCAAGCCUGGUCCAGCCAUGCCGCGUGCGGGAAGAAGGCCUUCUGGUUGUAAACCGCGUUUGCCAGGGAAGAAAAGGUUCUGGUUAAUACCUGGGACUCAUGACGGUACCUGAAGAAUAAGCACCGGCUAACUACGUGCCAGCCGCCGCGGUAA